UACGGGGGGAGCAAGCGUUGUUCGGAUUUACUGGGCGUAAAGGGCGCGUAGGCGGUCAGCACAAGUCAGUUGUGAAAUCUCCGAGCUUAACUCGGAAAGGUCAACUGAUACUGUGCGACUAGAGUGCAGAAGGGGCAACUGGAAUUCUUGGUGUAGCGGUGAAAUGCGUAGAUAUCAAGAGGAACACCUGCGGCGAAGGCGGGUUGCUGGGCUGACACUGACGCUGAAGCGCGAAAGCCAGGGGGAGCGAACGGGG
rnacentral:rRNA from 1 species